rnacentral:lncRNA from 1 species
GGUACAAAAGGCAGAGGCUGGCCUUCUGAGGGCAGAGACGAAGAAGGCGGAGAGCAAGCCUGCCCGGGGAACAGGUGGAGAGGGGGCAGCAGAGCUAGGCAGGACACAAUAAGAGGUAAAGCUAGGAAAAAAAAAAAAGAACGAAAGGGAUAAAGAGCCAGUGAGCAGACCUGACACAAAUAAGGAGAAAUGAUGAUUAAAAAGAUGUGCGUGAAGAGAAAAGGAGGAAACAGGAAAAGGGAACAAGUAAGGAGAUAAAAUAAGGAGUAAGCGCACAAGCUAAAUGCUUAGAAAAUCACCAGGCAGUUUGGCUGACUGGGAGAAGCGCCAUAGCCAGACUCCAAAGGGAACCAUCAGAAAGACAGAGGCAGGCGAUUUAAGUAGCCAGUUCCUGAGGUAAAAAUGAAAAAUAAAUAAAUAAAUAAAAUAGAAGAUGGAAAAGGUGAGAAGCAGGAGAGGGAAAACCCAGAGGAGACACUGGCCCAGAAACCUUUUUAACUUUCUGCAAGAAUCUUCAAGGCCCCAAACUAGGCCAAGAUUCUGACUGACAUUUCUGAGCUCACCAGCUGCUGUUUCCUUGAGAGAAUUCUGACAGGAAGGCAUAGAAAUGCAAGCCAACACUGCUAGCUCUGGAAAAAAAAAAAAUCCACGCUCCAAACACCUCCACGGGGCUGGAGCCUGCCAGGGAAGAAGGCAUACAGAGGAGGGACCCGGCGGCAACUUUUCCCCAGCCCUGCGGGCAGCCUGCUUCUGUCAUCUGAAGCCAGCUCCACGGUGUCUCCAGAAGCAGGUGAAGCUUCACAUCUGCAUCCCACAGGGGCGGGGGAGGACAUCGCUGGAAUCCAGCUCCAUCAGGCAGAGCCAGGCCAGGGGAAUUGGAGGAGAGAAAUCGCCCCAGCCCACAUGA